CAACGAUUAGGUGAUCGUGUUCCCUGACUCUCAUCGGCAGCAGGGCUCCUGGAAGUCCUGCUUCUCAUUACUACUGUGGACUGGAGCCUCCCCAGAGCUCCCUGGGGUCCUUGGCCUGGGUGAAGAUGGAUGAAGAUCAGAUCCAGCAGCUGUGGGUAGAGGAGGGUCCAGGAAGCAGGCACAAAGAGAGGCCUCAACUGUCAGAACAUGUAAUAAACAUAACCAGCCAGAGGACUGAGGGGAGGCAGAAGGCACACAGUUAACCACUGCAGCAGAAAGUAGCAGAAAUGAAGUUGCUGUGGAAGAAUCAUCCGCCUUACUGUAUGGAUGUUCAAACUUCCUUUCACAGAAAAGAAUUCUCCUUAAAUUUGUCUUGG
rnacentral:lncRNA from 1 species